GGUUAAGCUGGUAAGAGCACACGGAGGGAUGCCUAGGCGCUAGGAGCCGAAGAAGGACGUGGCGAACAACGAUAUGCCCCGGGGAGUCGUAAGCAGACUUUGAUCCGGGGAUGUCCGAAUGAGGGGAACCCGGCUGCGGUUAUGCGCAGUCACUCACUUCUGAAUCCAUAGGAAGUGAAGGGCAGACCAGGGGAACUGAAACAUCUAAGUACCUGAGAAGAAAACAAUCGUGAUUCCGUCAGCUGGCAGGCAGAAAGCGGAGGAGCCCAAACCAGAGAGCUUGCUCACUGGGGUUGUGGGACACCUUAUACGGAGUUACAAAGGGAGCAGAUUAGAGCGAAGAGGUCUGGAAAGGCCUGCCACAGAAGGAGUAACAGCCCUGUAGCUGAAAGUCUGCUCUCUCCAAGGUGGAUCCCAGUACGGCAGGACACGGGAAACCCCCGUCGGAAUCCGGCAGGACCAUCUGCCAAGGCUAAAUACUCCCUAGCGACCGAGUGAAGCAGUACCGUGAGGAAAGGUAAGCACCCCGGGAGGAAGUGAGAACCCUGAAACCGUGUGCUUACAAGAAUUGACCCUAUGAUUUCUUCAGGAAAUCAAGGGGUAGUGUUUGUCCCUUUAUUAAAAUGAACCGGCGAGUUACGCCCAUGCAAGGUUAAGGUGAAGAGCCGGAGCCGCAGCGGUCUGAACAGGGCGAAACAUAAGCUUACGAAGUAGCAAUGCUUUGUGUUAGCGGAAGUAUGCAGGCGUAGACCCGAAACCGUGUGAUCUGCCUGUCCAGGGUGAGAGGUGAGGUAACACUCUGGAGGCCCGAACCCCACAGAUGUUGAAAAAUUCCCGGGGAUGUGAGGUGGGGGUAGCGGAGAAUUCGAAAUCGAACUCGGAGAUAGCUGGUUCUCCUCGAAAUAGCUUUAGGGCUAGCCUCGGGUUAGAGUGAUGGAGGUAAAGCACUGAUUGGGUGCAGGGCCCGCCAAGGGUUACCAAGUCUAGUCAAACUCUGAAUGCCAUCCUCCCCGGUGCCCGGGAGUCAGACAGUGAGUGCUAAGAUCCGUUGUCAAGAGGACAGCCCAGAUCAUCAGCUAAGGUCCCCAAGUGUGUGUUAAGUGAAGGAUGGGUGCACAGACAGCCAGGAUGUUGACUAAAGCAAUGCCGCCAUUUAAAGAGUGCGUAAUAGCUCACUGGUCGAGUGACUCUGCGCCGAAAAUGUAACGGGCUAAAUACACCACCGAAGCUAUGGGUCCUAAUUAAGGGCAGUAGGGGAGCGUUCCAAGCAGCAUGAAGAGUUGAGUAUUGAGGACAGCUGGAGCGCUUGGAAGUGAGAAUACCGGUAUGAGUAACGAAAAGAUCGAGUGAGAAUCUGAUCCGCCGAAAGCCCUAAGGGUUCCUGAGGAAGGUUCGUCCGCUCAGGGUAAGUCGGGACCUAAGGCCGGGGCCGAAAGGCGUAGUCGAAGGACAACAGGCAGAAAUUCCUGUACCACCAAACACCGCUAUGAGCGAUGGGGUGACACAGUAGGGUAGGGACACCCAAGCUGAUGGAAGUGCUUGUCCAAGCAGUGAGGCUGGUGUGCAGGCAAAUCCGCACACGAUGAAAGCCGGGCUGUGACGGGGAGUGAAAAUAGCAGUAACCCGAAGGUCUUGAUCUCACUGUCAAGAAAAGCCUCUAGCCAGGUGCAGGUGCCCGUACCGCAAACCGACACAGGUAGGCGAGAAGAGAAUUCUAAGGCGCGCGGAAGAACUCUCGUUAGGAACUCGGCAAAAUGACCCCGUAACUUAGGGAGAAGGGGUGCCCCGGUAGAGUGAAUAGCUCGAGGGCCGCAGUGAAUAGGCCCAAGCGACUGUUGGCAAAAACACAGGUCUAUGCGAAGCCGCAAGGCGAAGUAUAUGGGCUGACGCCUGCCCAGUGCUGGAAGGUUGGGGGGGGGGGGGGGGGGGGGGGGGGGGGGGGGGGGGGGGGGAGUGGUUAGGGCUUAAGGCCCGAGCUAUGAACCGAAGCCCCAGUAAACGGCGGCCGUAACUAUAACAGUCCUAAGGUAGCGAAAUUCUUGUCAGGUAAAUUCUGGCCCGCACGAAUGGCGUAACGGCAGGCGCUGUCUCAACAGAAGUCGGUGGUGCAAUACCUGUGAAGAUGCAGGUUACCCGCGACAUAGGAACGGAAAGACCCCAUGGGCUUUACCUUGAUAUUGGACUUUGGUACGAUCUGUACAGCGGAUAGGUGGGAGCCUAAGAAGCCGGAGCGCCAGCUUCGGUGGAGGCAACGUUGGGAUACCACUCUGAUCAUCAGGUUCUAACGGGAUCCGUGAACCGGUUCGGGGACAGUGUCGAUGUCAACGGAUUUGACUGGGGCGGUCGCCUCUAAAAAUAACGGAGGCGCCCCAAGAGUUUCUCAGAAUGGUUGGAAAUCAUUCGAAGAGUGCAAAAGGCAGAAGGGAGCUUGACUGCGAGACCUACAAGUCGAGCAGGGACGAAAAGUCGGGCUUAGUGAUCCGGUGGUACCGCAUGGAAGGGGGCCAUCGCUCAACGGAUAAAAGCUACCCUGGGGAUAACAGGCUUAUCUCCCCCAGAGUCCACAUCGACGGGAGGUUUGGCACCUCGAUGUCGGCUCAUCGCAUCCUGGGGCUGAAGUAGGUCCCAAGGGUUGGGCUGUUCGCCCAUUAAAGCGAAGUACGCGAGCUGGAGUUCAGAACGUCGUGAGACAGUUCCGGUCCCUAUCUGUCGUGGGCGCAGAAGUUGAGAGGAGCUGUCCUUAGUACGAGAGGACCGGGAUGGACGUACCGCUGGUGUACAGUUGUUCUGUGGGAGCACAGCUGGGUAACUAUGUACGGAAGGGAUAAGCGCUGAAGGCAUCUAAGCGUGAAGCCCGCCUCAGAUGAAUUUCCCAAGUAAGUAAGACCCCUUGAAGACGACGAGGUAGAUAGGUUGGGGGGUGGAAGCGCAGCAAUGCGUGGAGCUGAUAAUACUAAUCGGUCGAGGUUUUAUCCUA
rnacentral:rRNA from 1 species